UGGCGGGGAGCGCGCUCGGGCUCCACGUGACUCCUCCUGGGGCCUCUGUCAAAGCGAAGGCCCGGAGCGGGGACCCCGCAGGUUCACGCUCCCGGCUCGGUGACAAGACCACACAGUAGAAAUAAAAGAGGCCUUGAGAGUAUUCCGCAAGCUAUUCUGCCAGACAAGAACUACACAGAAGAAAGAACAGAAAACCUGAGAGUGUAAAUGUACAACUGUGAAGUGCGUCGCUAAAGGACCAUGGAAGCCAUGCAGGUUGAUGUUGGACGGCCCUGCUGUUUAAGGUGGCAGUUCACCAUGUCUGGACGGCUCUCCGAGCUAGGCACAAAACGGAAGACUCCUCCUGCAGGGGCUCCCUACUCUGCCUGACCUUCUCUGGAAGCUCCCUGAGCUUGGAUGCCUGACUUAAGUGUGACCUUUGACACAGGUCCCUGUCAAUGCUCUCCCCUGCUGCCCAUGUGAUAAUUAGGUGGUGUGCCCCCAUCUGUAUGAUGGGACCCUGCUGCCAAAUGCAAAGGAAGCAGACAUACAUGAGCACCUAUCAGGUGAUGUCCCCGCUGCUGUACCCAUCCUAUAUAUUCCCCUCGCUCUGGGAUGAGGUUGAGCUGUCUCACUGAAGCUGACUCCUGGAAGGCUCUUUCUGUUGUACUCACAACCCUACAAAGCCCUGCAAGCUGCCUCUGCUCCCUUUGUCCUCUCAGACUGGCGGCCAACAGACCGUGAGGAAAAGGGAGACCCCACAGUGGAGAUGUGGAAAAGAUUUUUUUUUUUUUUUUGAGACAUGGUCAUAAUAUGUAGCCCUGGCUGGCCCCGAACUCCUUAUGCAGAUCAGGCUGAGCUCAAACUCAACAAUUCUCCCUGCCUCUGUCUCCCUGGUACUGGGAUUAAAGGGGUGUGCUACCACACCUGCCUGGAAAAGGUAUCUUAUCUUAAGAAAUUAUGGUGAAGAAUACAGGUCACUAAGAAGAUAAAUCUAAACAGCCCAAUAAAUGGUUACCUGGAAAAAAAGAACAGAAAACA